GGUUGCGAUCAUACCAGCACUAAUGCACCGGAUCCCAUCAGAACUCCGCAAUUAAGCGUGCUUGGGCGAGAGUAGUACUAGGAUGGUGACCCCCUGGGAAGUCCUCGUGUUGCAACCCC
rnacentral:rRNA from 1 species